rnacentral:rRNA from 1 species
GAUGAACGCUGACAGAAUGCUUAACACAUGCAAGUCAACUUGAACUUCGGUUUGGGUGGCGGACGGGUGAGUAACGCGUAAAGAACUUGCCUCACAGAUAGGGACAACAUUUGGAAACGAAUGCUAAUACCUGAUAUUAUGAUUUUAGGGCAUCCUAGAAUUAUGAAAGCUAUAUGCGCUGUGAGAGAGCUUUGCGUCCCAUUAGCUAGUUGGAGAGGUAACGGCUCACCAAGGCGAUGAUGGGUAGCCGGCCUGAGAGGGUGAUCGGCCACAAGGGGACUGAGACACGGCCCUUACUCCUACGGGAGGCAGCAGUGGGGAAUAUUGGACAAUGGACCAAGAGUCUGAUCCAGCAAUUCUGUGUGCACGAUGAAGUUUUUCGGAAUGUAAAGUGCUUUCAGUUGGGAAGAAAAAAAUGACGGUACCAACAGAAGAAGUGACGGCUAAAUACGUGCCAGCAGCCGCGGUAAUACGUAUGUCACAAGCGUUAUCCGGAUUUAUUGGGCGUAAAGCGCGUCUAGGUGGUUAUAUAAGUCUGAUGUGAAAAUGCAGGGCUCAACUCUGUAUUGCGUUGGAAACUGUGUAACUAGAGUACUGGAGAGGUAAGCGGAACUACAAGUGUAGAGGUGAAAUUCGUAGAUAUUUGUAGGAAUGCCGAUGGGGAAGCCAGCUUACUGGACAGAUACUGACGCUGAAGCGCGAAAGCGUGGGUAGCAAACAGG